rnacentral:rRNA from 1 species
GACGAACGCUGGCGGCGUGCUUAACACAUGCAAGUCGAACGGUGAAGCGCCUUCCUUUUUGGUGGGUGUGGAUGAGUGGCGAACGGGUGAGUAACACGUGAGUAACCUGCCCCCUUCUUCUGGAUAACCGCAUGAAAGUGUGGCUAAUACGGGAUAUUCUGGGUCUGUCGCAUGAUGGGUCUGGGAAAGAUAUUGUUUCGGUGGGGGAUGGGCUCGCGGCCUAUCAGCUUGUUGGUGGGGUGAUGGCCUACCAAGGCGGUGACGGGUAGCCGGCCUGAGAGGGUGGACGGUCACACUGGGACUGAGACACGGCCCAGACUCCUACGGGAGGCAGCAGUGGGGAAUAUUGCACAAUGGGCGCAAGCCUGACGCAGCGACGCCGCGUGAGGGAUGGAGGCCUUCGGGUUGUGAACCUCUUUCGCCAGUGAAGCAGGCCUGCCUCGUUUGUGGGUGGGUUGACGGUAGCUGGAUAAGAAGCGCCGGCUAACUACGUG